UACGAAGGGGACUAGCGUUGUUCGGAAUCACUGGGCGUAAAGCGCACGUAGGCGGAUUCGUAAGUCAGGGGUGAAAUCCCGGGCUCAACCUCGGAACUGCCUUUGAUACUGCGGGUCUUGAGUCCGAUAGAGGUGGGUGGAAUUCCUAGUGUAGAGGUGAAAUUCGUAGAUAUUCGCAAGAACACCAGUGGCGAAGGCGGCUCACUGGCCCGGUACUGACGCUGAGGUGCGAAAGCGUGGGGAGCAAACAGG
rnacentral:rRNA from 1 species